UACGUAGGGGGCAAGCGUUGUCCGGAUUUAUUGGGCGUAAAGAGCUCGUAGGCGGCUUGGCAAGUCGGGUGUGAAAACUCCAGGCUCAACCUGGAGAUGCCACUCGAGACUGCUAUGGCUAGAGUCCGGUAGGGGACCACGGAAUUCCUGGUGUAGCGGUGAAAUGCGCAGAUAUCAGGAGGAACACCGGAGGCGAAGGCGGUCAACUGGUGGUGCAUUGACGCUGAGGUGCGAAAGCGUGGGUAGCAAACAGG
rnacentral:rRNA from 1 species